GCUGUCUCUCUCUCUGUUGGAAAAUGUUUUGUCUCUCUCUCUAAAAAUCGGGCAAAUUUUUCUCUCUUGAUUUUCUCUCUCUUCAAUUUUUAGUUUUCUUUUUUUUUCUUCUGUAGAUCGAAAGGCGGCUCAAGAAAUCGAACGCGGUGGAUGGAUCUGAGAUUGAAUUAGAUCGGGUAAAAGGGAGAAUCACGAUCGAAGGGAAUUCGGGUUUUGGAUUUGUGAUUGGGGAAAUUAGGGUUUGGUUAAGGGGAGAUUUUAGGAGAUGGUGAAAGGUAGGGUUUUGGGUGGAUCUAGGGUUUGGAGUUGGUGAAAGAAGGGAAAACUAACGAGGGGGAAAAGAAGAUAGAAAUUAGGAGGGCGGAUUGAUGGUACUCGAAGGGGAAAAUGCAAGGCUAUGCAUGGGCGGGGAGGAGGUGAGGAGAGGAAAAAGGCACGGCACAUGUGGACAGUCCCUACACGUGCAACGGCGGUUCUGAGUGGUGAUGGUGGUGCUUCUCCCUCUUCUUCUUCUUCAUCUACUAUUAAUUCGUUUUCAAAGGAUGGACGCAAGAUCAGUGUUGGUGACUGUGCUCUCUUUAAACCACCCCAAGAUUCUCCACCUUUCAUUGGAAUAAUUCGUUGUCUAACUACUAGUAAAGAAAAUAAGUUAAAGUUGAGUGUGAAUUGGCUUUAUCGACCUGCUGAAGUAAAGCUUGGCAAAGGCAUCCUGUUGGAAGCUGCGCCAAACGAAAUUUUUUAUUCCUUUCAUAAGGAUGAGAUUCCUGCUGCAUCGUUACUCCAUCCGUGUAAAGUUGCAUUCCUUCCUAAAGACGUUGAACUUCCGUCAGGGAUUUGUUCAUUUGUGUGCCGGCGAGUUUAUGACAUUACAAACAAGUGUUUAUGGUGGCUAACUGAUCAAGAUUAUAUUAAUGAACGACAAGAAGAAGUAGAUCAACUAUUAUAUAAGACGCGGUUAGAAAUGCAUGCAACAGUGCAGCCAGGUGGCCGUUCUCCAAAGCCCAUUAAUGGUCCGACAUCAUCAUCACAGUUAAAACCUGGUUCAGAUAGUGUACAGAACAGUGCUUCCUCAUUUCCUUCUCAAGGUAAGGGAAAGAAAAGGGAGCGUGGUGAUCAAGGCCCUGAACCUGUUAAACGGGAACGCACUAGUAAAAUGGAUGAUGGGGAUUCUGGUCAUGGUAGACCAGAAAUUAAUUUAAAAUCUGAGAUUGCAAAAAUCACUGAAAAAGGGGGACUAGAAGAUUCUGAAGGAGUUGAGAAAUUGGUUCAGCUAAUGUUGCCUGAGAGAAAUGAGAAGAAAAUAGACUUGGUGAGCCGGUCAAUGCUUGCUGGUGUGAUAGCAGCUACUGACAAGGUUGACUGUCUUAGUCGUUUUGUUCAGCUCAGAGGGUUACCUGUUUUUGAUGAAUGGCUCCAGGAAGUCCACAAAGGGAAGAUUGGUGAUGGUAGUGGCUCCAAGGAUGAUAGAUCAGUUGACGACUUUCUUUUAACCUUACUCCGAGCACUUGAUAAGCUACCUGUAAAUCUUACAGCUCUACAGAUGUGUAACAUUGGCAAGUCUGUGAAUCAUUUGCGUAGUCAUAAGAAUAUAGAAAUACAGAAAAAAGCAAGGACUUUAGUUGAUACGUGGAAAAAACGAGUUGAGGCAGAGAUGGAUGCUAAGUCUGGUUCAAAUCAGGCUGUUCCCUGGUCUGCAAGGCCUCGUCUCUCGGAAGUUUCUCACAGUGGAAACAAGCACUCCGGAUCAUCUGAGGUUGCCAUGAAAAGUUCAGUAACACAACUUUCUGCAUCUAAAACUGGUUCGGUCAAGCUUGCCCAAGGAGAAGCUGCAACCAAAUCUGCUUCUGCAUCUCCAGGGUCUAUGAAGGCUGCAACAUCGCCUGCUUCAGCCUGUACAAACCUAAAAGAUGUGCAGGCACGAAAUGCUACUGUGGUUGGCACCUCUGACCCUCAAUCAACCAUAAGGGAUGAGAAAAGCAGUAGUUCUAGUCAAUCCCAUAACAAUAGUCUUUCUUGUUCUAGUGAUCAUGCGAAGACUGGGGGUGUUUCUUUAAAGGAGGAUGCAAGAAGUUCUGCUGCUGGUUCUGGAACAGUGACUAAGAUCUCAGGUAAUUCUACACGGCACCGGAAAUCCAUUAAUGGUUUCCCAGGGCCAUUGGGAGUUCUAAGGGAAACUGGAUCAGGCAAAAAUUCUUCUCUGCACCGAAAUCCUGCUUCAGAAAAAAUAUCACCGUCUGGUGUAAUUUGUGAAAAGUCUGUGGAUGCUCCUAUGGCUGAGGGUAAUAGUCAUAAGUUCAUUGUAAAGAUCCCGAAUCGAGGUAGAAGCCCAGCACAAAGUGCCAGUGGAGGAUCUCUUGAAGAUCAUUCGGUCAUGAGUAGCAGAGCAUCUUCUCCUGUGGUUUCUGAGAAGCAUGAACAAUUAGAUCAUAACAUGAAGGAGAAGAGUGAUACUUACCGGGCAAAUGUUAUAACGGAUGUGAAUAUUGAAUCUUGGCAGAUUAAUGACUUCAAGGAUGUGCUGACUGGGUCUGACGAGGGAGAUGGUUCACCUGCAGCUGUUCCAGAUGAAGAAAACUGUAGAACUAGAGAAGAUGCUAGGAAAACAACAGAAGUUACGAAAACUGCUUCCCCAUCUUCUGGAAAUGAACUUAAAUCGGGGAAAGUGCAGGAGGCUUCUUUCAGCUCCAUAAAUGCUCUAAUUGAUAGUUGUGUCAAGUACUCUGAAGCAAAUGCAUGCAUGCCUAUUGGGGAUGAUGCUGGAAUGAAUUUACUUGCUAGUGUGGCUACUGGAGAGAUUUCUAAGUCAGAUGUGGCUUCGCCGAUUGAUUGCCCUCAAAGAAAUACCCCUGUUGUUGAGCACCCUUCCACAGGCAAUGAUACAAAACUAAAGCCUUCUGCUGGGGAUGAGGUUGUUCAAGAUCGAAAUCAGUCUGUUGAGAGUGCAGAUGAUGAGCAUCUGAAGCAGGCUGUUGUUGCUGGUAUUUCAUGGGCUAAGAAUGCAGACAGCAAGACUUGUUCCUCUCAAGAAAAAUCUGGAGGAGAGCUGAAUGAGCAUUUAACUUCAUCAAGCAUGGGCUUGCCACAGACUAUGGCCCCAUGUCUUGAAAAUGGUAAAUUAAAGGAAAGUAUAACAGCUGCUUUAGUCAAUUUGCCCUUUGCAAGCACUGUGGAGAAUACUACUGAUACUGGAGAUUCCAAAGAGCAUCUGGAGAGAAAGGCUGGUGGAACAGAUGAUGAUGGCAGUUUGGUUACUACAGUAAAAGGGGGCAGUUCUUUGGUAAAUGAAGAUAAGGUCAUCGAUCCAGUUGUAGAAGUUGAGAAAGUGGUUGAAGGAUCUUCAUCUGUACCUUCUAUUGAAGUUGAUGUUGAGAACAAGAAAAAUGUUGUUGAAGGUUUGGAAAGAAGUUCGCAGACUCACCAGAAGUCACCAGCUGUUAUUGGACAUUCUUCCAAAGGAACAGAUAAAGAAGCAUUGCCUCCUGGUUCUGUUAAAGAUACAGUUUUGGAAAAUGUUGAUGAAGUGAAGAAUGAGAAGGAUGUUGAGACUGAUGCAUGUAGUCAUGUCAGUCACGAUGAGAAGAAAAAACCUGAAUGCCAAACUGUCAAUGUCCAGAAAGUUGAACACGUGGAGGAGAAUUUAGAAGGUAGUGAGGGUCAUGAACCGCGUGUUGGACCAUCUCCUUGUAAGGCAUCAUCCACAGUAAUGGAAACAGAACAACCUAUGAAGCCAAGGGGAUCUAAGUUGACUGGUGCUGAAGCAGAUGAAGCUGAAGAAAGGACAUCAGCCACCAUGGAUGCUCCUGCCACAAGUGGUGCUGAUACAGAUGCAAAAGUAGAAUUUGACUUGAAUGAAGGCUUUAAUGCAGAUGAGGGGAAAUUUGGGGAACCGAAUAACUUGACGGCACCUGGAUGUUCGGCUCCUGUCCAAUUAAUUAUUUCUUCUGUGUCUAGUAGCCUUCCUGCUUUGAUUACUGUUGCUGCUGCUGCAAAAGGGCCCUUUAUUCCCCCGGACGACCUUCUGAGGACUAAAGGGGCACUUGGUUGGAAGGGAUCGGCAGCCACUAGUGCGUUUCGGCCAACUGAACCCAGAAAGACUCCGGAUAUGCCUGUGGGUACAAGUAACUCUUCCAUCGCUGAUGCUACUACUGGCAAACAAAGCCGUCCUCCAUUGGAAAUUGAUUUGAAUGUAGCUGAUGAGAGAGUCAUUGAGGAUCUAGCUUCCCGAAGCUCUGCUCAGGGCACAGACUCUGCACCAGACCUUACUAGUAAUCGUGAUUUAACAUGUGGGUUGGUGGGUUCUGCAUCUGUUCGCUCCUCUGGGGGACUUGAUCUUGAUUUGAAUAGAGUCGAUGAGCCUGCUGAUUUGGGUAAUCACUCAGCUAGCAGUAGUCGUAGACUAGAUGUUAUGCGGCCUAUGAAAUCAUCUUCAUCAGGUGGAAUUCUUAAUGGUGAGUCAAAUGUCCGCAGGGACUUUGAUUUGAACAAUGGACCUGCUGUUGAUGAGGUAAGUGCUGAACCAUUACUAUUUAGCCAGCAUAAUAGAAACAGCAACGUGCCAUCUCAGCCACCGGUUUCCAGCCUGCGGAUAAACAAUACGGAGAUGGCAAAUUUCUCAUCAUGGUUUCCUACAGGGAAUACAUACUCGGCAGUCACAAUUCCAUCAAUCUUGCCUGAUAGAGAACAGCCUUUUCCAAUUGUUGCAACUGGUGGGCCACAAAGGGUGUUGGGCCCCCCUACUGGUGCCACUCCUUUUAAUCCUGAUGUCUAUAGGGGACCUGUAUUGUCAUCUUCACCAGCAGGGCCCUUCCCUUCGACUCCUUUCCAAUAUCCUUUGUUCCCCUUUGGAACAACAUUUCCUCUUCCUUCAACAAGCUUUUCUGGUGGUUCAACAAAUUAUGCUGAUUCAUCUCCUGGUGGAAGGCUUUGUUUCCCCCCAGUACAUUCGCAAUUGUUAGGACCUGCUGGUUCUGUUCCGUCCCAUUACUCAAGGCCCUAUGUUGUUAGCCUUCCAGAUGCUUGUAAUAAUAGUGGUGCUGAUAAUGGUAGGAAAUGGGGAAGGCAAGGUCUAGACUUAAAUGCUGGGCCUGGAGGCCCAGACACUGAAGGAAGAGACGAGACAACACCACUUGCAUCUAGGCAACUGUCUGUUGCCAGUUCACAGGCCCUGGCAGAGGAGCAACCAAGAAUGUAUCAUGUGCCAGGUGGCAUUUUGAAAAGGAAGGAACCUGAGGGAGGAUGGGAUGGAUACAAUCUUCAUGGCAGUAGGAAUCCUUAAAUAUCACAAUCUUGUGACCCAUGAAAGCUUUUCUUCAAGGAUGGACAUUGGCUAACCCCCAGAGGUCAUCUAACCUGUGUGCUCUUAGAGGAUGGGUGUUUUAAUUCCUGCCAACUUUGCUAUCAAUGUUGUUAUAAGGUAUUGGCACUGAGACUGCAUUGAAGUUUGAAGUUGCACUUUCACCUCAAUCAAUUUGCUCUUUGUGAUGACCAGUGGCAACAAUGUCAUUCAUCUUUCCAAGUGUUUUUGCUUGUGCUUCGCCUUGAUUUUUUCUGUUGAUUGAAGUAGGUAAAGGUCAACUGGCCAAAUGAUCUAAGAAGCCAAGCCUUGUUUAUAUUCUGGAUUCUGGUCAGUAAUUGGCAUAUUCACAGGAACUUUCUAUUGCCCAUUUUUAUAUAUUGUUAUUACAAGGAAGCAAUAAUGUUAUGGUUCAUGCUGUAUAUGAUGGACAGCAUGUCAUGUAAUUUUUGUUAGAAUUUUCGAUAAAGCCCUGCUAUCUAAGUGGAUGUUUUUGAGUGUUGCCGGCCGCUGGAGGCAGGUGCUUGUGAUGCUUCUUUUGGUGGUACAACCCCCGAAACUUUAUUCAUCAAGGAUGCGUUAUGUUCAUCUUUUG